rnacentral:rRNA from 1 species
UGAGGAAUUUUGCGCAAUGGACGAAAGUCUGACGCAGCGACGCCGCGUGUGGGAUGAAGGGGGUAACCUCGUAAACUACUGUCGGAUAGGAAUAAAAGUUGGCUUUGCCGACUGGGAAUGUACUAUCAAAGGAAGGAUCGGCUAACUACGUGCCAGCAGCCGCGGUAAUACGUAGGAUCCAAGCGUUGUCCGGAUUUACUGGGUGUAAAGGGUGCGUAGGCGGACUUUUAAGUCGAAGGUUAAAGAUCACAGCUCAACUGUGGGAAUGCCCUCGAAACUGAAAGUCUUGAAUAUGAGAGAGGUAGGUAGAAUUCCUGGUGUAGCGGUGAAAUGCGUAGAUAUCAGGAGGAAUACCAGUGGCGAAGGCGGCCUACUGGCUCAUUAUUGACGCUGAGGCACG